rnacentral:rRNA from 1 species
GACAGAGGUGCCGAGCGUUAGGCGGAAUCACUGGGCUUAAAGCGUGUGUAGGCGGCCCGUUAAGUGCCUCGUGAAAUCCCCCGGCUCAACCGGGGAACUGCCGGGCAUACUGGCGGGCUUGGGUCGCUCAGGGGCAGACGGAACAGGCGGUGGAGCGGUGAAAUGCGUAGAUAUCGGAAGGAACGCCGGUGGCGAAAGCGGUCCGCUGGCCCUCUACUGACGCUGAGGCGCGAAAGCCAGGGGAGCAAACGGG